CCUACGGGAGGCAGCAGUAAGGAAUAUUGGUCAAUGGACGAAAGUCUGAACCAGCCAUGCCGCGUGAAGGAUGACGGCCCUCUGGGUUGUAAACUUCUUUUAUCUGGGACGAAAAAAGGUCAUUCUUGACCACUUGACGGUACCAGAGGAAUAAGCACCGGCUAACUCCGUGCCAGCAGCCGCGGUAAUACGGAGGGUGCAAGCGUUAUCCGGAUUCACUGGGUUUAAAGGGGGCGUAGGUGGGCAGGUAAGUCAGUGGUGAAAUCUCCGAGCUUAACUCGGAAACUGUCAUUGAUACUAUUUGUCUUGAAUUAUCUGGAGGUAAGCGGAAUAUGUCAUGUAGCGGUGAAAUGCUUAGAUAUGACAUAGAACACCCAUUGCGAAGGCAGCUUACUACGGAUAUAUUGACACUGAGGCUCGAAAGCGUGGGGAUCAAACAGGAUUAGAUACCCUGGUAGUCCACGCCCUAAACGAUGGAUACUCGACAUCAGCGAUACACUGUUGGUGUCUGAGCGAAAGCAUUAAGUAUCCCACCUGGGAAGUACGACCGCAAGGUUGAAACUCAAAGGAAUUGACGG
rnacentral:rRNA from 1 species